GCUCGGUUAGCUCAGUUGGUUAGAGCGUCGUACUAAUAUUAUAUAAAUGCUGUAUAAUAUCGGUGAUGCGAAGGUCAUGAGUUCGACCCUCAUACUGAGCA